rnacentral:rRNA from 1 species
AAAAAUUGUAUAAUUGUUAAGUCAGAGUAGUAUUAGUUAAGGUCUUGAAACUCAAAAAAUUUGGCGGUAUUUUAGUCUAUUUAGAGGAACCUGUAGUAUAAUCGAUAAUCCACGAUGGACCUCACUUAAUUUUGUUUUUCAGUUUGUAUACCGCUGUUAUUUGAAGAUUUUAUAAGAACAUUAAUUUUCAGGAUUUUUAAUUAAAAAAUAUAUCAGGUCAAGGUGCAGCUUAUGAUUAAGAAUUUAUGGGUUACAAUAAAAUUAUUUAUACGAAUAAAAAUAUGAAAUUAUUUUUUGAAGGUGGAUUUAAUAGUAAAUUUUUAAAGAUAAAAGAAUUGAUU